UCAUCCCAUGGUUUUUGGUUAUGAUUUACCUAUGUAUGAGUAGGGUGGACAGUGUAAUCAACAGUCCCUGUCUAUGCCGUAUUCUGAUAGUUCAGAGGUCAAAAGAACAUUCUAUCA